UACGAGGGGUGCAAGCGUUGCUCGGAAUUAUUGGGCGUAAAGGGUAGGUAGGUGGUCUUAUUUGUCUUAUGUGAAAGCCUUGGGCUUAACCCAAGAAGUGCGUAAGAAACGGUAAGACUAGAGUCCUGGAGAGGGUCGUGGAAUUCCCGGUGUAGCGGUGAAAUGCGCAGAUAUCAGGAGGAACACCGGUGGCGAAGGCGGGUCUCUGGGCCGAUACUGACGCUGAGGAGCGAAAGCGUGGGGAGCGAACAGG
rnacentral:rRNA from 1 species